rnacentral:rRNA from 1 species
GAUGAACGCUGGCGGCGUGCCUAAUACAUGCAAGUCGAGCGAACAGACGAGGAGCUUGCUCCUCUGACGUUAGCGGCGGACGGGUGAGUAACAAGUGGGUAACCUACCUAUAAGACUGGGAUAAAUUCGGGAAACCGGAGCUAAUACCGGAUAAUAUAUUGAACCACAUGGUUCAAUAGUGAAAGACGGUUUUGCUGACACUGAUAGAUGGAUCCGCGCCGCAUUAGCUAGUUGGUAAGGUAACGGCUUACCAAGGCAACGAUGCGUAGCCGACCUGAGAGGGUGAUCGGUCACACUGGAACUGAGACACGGUCCAGACUCCUACGGGAGGCAGCAGUAGGGAAUCUUCCGCAAUGGGCGAAAGCCUGACGGAGCAACGCCGCGUGAGUGAUGAAGGUCUUCGGAUCGUAAAACUCUGUUAUUAGGGAAGAACAAAUGUGUAAGUAACUAUGCACGUCUUGACGGUACCUAAUCAGAAAGCCACGGCUAACUACGUG